rnacentral:lncRNA from 10 species
CUUGAAUCCAUGGAUUUGGGACACAUGGACAUGGGAGUCUGACUGUAAUGUAAGAUUCAGCCUACACCAGGUGUCUAGCGUAGUCAGAUUCACAGAGACAGAAAGAAGCUGCUGAUUGUCGCGAGUUUCAGGGAGAGGGGAAUGGGGAGUUAGUGUUUAAUGCAGACAGAGUUUCCGUUUGGGAAGAUGGAACAGAAUUCUGGAGAUGGAUG